rnacentral:ncRNA from 1 species
AUACGUGCUCCGGGGUCGGUGUAAGUCCGAACCGGCGGUGACAGUCCGCGACCCGCGCGCCGUUGUUCUCCCAGGAGGGCUCCGGCGAACGGUUGAACCGGUGGAAUUCCGGUACCGACAGUUAAAGUCUGGAUGAGAGAAGCACGUAC